GCUACGUUGCGGCUCGUCAUCAGGCACUUUGCUUCGUUUCAAACGCAAGCUGCCUUUUGAAGGGCAACACCGUACU
rnacentral:pre_miRNA from 1 species